AGGGAUUUAGGAUAAUAAGACCAAGGGCCUUCAAAGCCCUAAGUGAAGGUGAGACCCCCUCAAUCCCUG
rnacentral:tRNA from 1 species